UGGACUAUGGUACGGGCUAUGGUAU
rnacentral:piRNA from 1 species